rnacentral:rRNA from 1 species
GCAGAGCACUCUACGGGAGGCAGCAGUGGGGAAUAUUGCACAAUGGGCGCAAGCCUGAUGCAGCCAUGCCGCGUGUAUGAAGAAGGCCUUCGGGUUGUAAAGUACUUUCAGCAGUGAGGAAGUGGGUAUGUUAAUAGCAUACUCAUUUGACGUUAGCUGCAGAAGAAGCACCGGCUAACUCCGUGCCAGCAGCCGCGGUAAUACGGAGGGUGCGAGCGUUAAUCGGAAUUACUGGGCGUAAAGCGCAUGCAGGUGGUUUGUUAAGUCAGAUGUGAAAGCCCGGGGCUCAACCUCGGAAUUGCAUUUGAAACUGGCAAACUAGAGUACUGUAGAGGGGGUAGAAUUUCAGGUGUAGCGGUGAAAUGCGUAGAGAUCUGAAGGAAUACCGGUGGCGAAGGCGGCCCCCUGGACAGAUACUGACACUCAGAUGCGAAAGCGUGGGGAGCAAACAGGAUUAGAUACCCUGGUAG